UAGACUUUUAUUGAAGAAAAAGAGGAAUUUAAUUUAAUCUCUCAUUGACUGAAGGUGUCUUGCAGCUGUGACUCAUUCAAACAUAUUUUGAAAACAUGCUCAUUUUGAAUCACCAAUCAGUCAACCCAAUAUUAAUUGAACACUGAAGGCUUUUGGCACCCUGACUACAUGGCAUGGGAAAUCUAUUCCAUGGAUAGAAGUCUCUCCAAAGUGCAACAAAAAACUUCAAACAAAUCAACCAACCUAAACUAAAGACCUAUACAUAAAAUAUUCCAAGGUCUCCUAUAACUACUAUGAUAUCUGAUGAAUGUUAUGAAUGGUUAUAUAUGAACAUUUGGUAUGACAAGCCCCUGUCUUGGAGAACAGCACUUUACACAGAUCAAGGUAGCAAGACAAUUCCCUUCAUUUUGUGACAAACAUGCUAUUUGGACUUCAUACACUCCCCUAAAGGAAAUAAGAAACUUUCUUACCUUACCUGCCACCCCAAUGAUUCUAUACCAUUCUACUAACAGAAUUUGUCCUCAUGGAUAAGAGUGUGGGUUAAACAAGCCCCUGUCCUUCCACCUACACUGCCAGCAAAUUGCAGCAGAAGUUAGAAUGGCAACAUAGUUAAAUGUUACUAGAAAUUUGUUUACUGGUCAAAUUAAAAACAUUAAAAAAAAACAAACUGAAAAAAACCCCAAAACAAACACCGUCAUCAUAGCUACCUUUUCUUUGUCUAAAUCCCAGACUGAAAUCUGUGCUGCUUCCUUAUUCUAUUUGAAAAUAUUUGAACUAAAUGGCAUAAACAAUCCCGAGAUGACUGGAAUGUAAAAUCAUCCUUUUCUUGUACCUUGACUAUCAUGGAACUUAAAAUCACCCUUUUCUUGUAUCCUAUCAGGCCCAAAAUCCCGUGGAUCCUGAAGAGGUAAUCUAGCUGAAAAUGCCACAUUUUUAUGUAUUUACUAUUAGAAUUCCCCAUCUGCAGCUUUCUUGGAACCCAAUCUGCGUGCUGCGGAGGUAGAAUGGUGAGGACUACCUGAAUGUAGUUGGGGCAUGGGACUAGAUGCUGCAAACUAUUUUUCUGGUCUGUGUAACUUCAGUUUAAUAGAUAAAAGAAGCUGCUUCUAAAA